ACGACCUUACUUGAACAGGAUAUAUUCUAUAGGCUCAUACAACUGUAUCCUUGAGUUUAAAGAAGACAGACAACUACUCUGGUUGAUGACGUAAGAUAUCGAGAUCAGAGCAUGAUUAACGGUUCUGGUCCCUUGGGAGUCCAAGUUGUAGAGGACUGUUCCUAACAGAUCAACGCUCUACUGGGGUGGUCUCGAGAUUGUCUGACAGACA